GGGUCAGUAGGUUGGUCGUGCCACCGGUACGUACUGGUCUCACUGAUUCCUCCUUCCUGAAGAACCGUAAUGCCAUUAAUUUGGUGUUGCGAGGAAACAGGACUGUUACUUUGAAAAAAUUAGAGUGUUUAAAGCAAGCUAACGCUUGAACACAUUAGCAUGGAAUAAUGAAAUAGGACGAUCGAUCCUAUUUUGUUGGUUUCUAGGAUUGACGUA
rnacentral:rRNA from 1 species